GAUGAACGCUGGCGGCGUGCCUAAUACAUGCAAGUCGAGCGAACAGACGAGGAGCUUGCUCCUCUGACGUUAGCGGCGGACGGGUGAGUAACACGUGGAUAACCUACCUAUAAGACUGGGAUAACUUCGGGAAACCGGAGCUAAUACCGGAUAAUAUAUUGAACCGCAUGGUUCAAUAGUGAAAGACGGUUUUGCUGUCACUUAUAGAUGGAUCCGCGCCGCAUUAGCUAGUUGGUAAGGUAACGGCUUACCAAGGCAACGAUGCGUAGCCGACCUGAGAGGGGGACGGGCCCCAUGGAACUGAGAACAGGUCCCAAACCCCAAGGGAGGGCACGGGAGGGAAUCUUCCGCAAAGGGGGAAAACCUGAAGGAGGAAACCCGGGGGGGUGAUAGAGGGUUUUCGAUUCGAAAACCUUUUUUUUUGGGAAAAAAAAAUGUGGAAAGAAAUAAGGCCGUUUUGGAGGGACCUAAACAGAAAACCCCGGCUAACCAAGGG
rnacentral:rRNA from 1 species